AUACUAAGCUCAGAUAUUCUAUCCAUUUGCCGACGAACAAAUUCAGAUCAAUUCCAUUUAUCGAAAGAAGUUCAGAUCCAAAUUCACCUACUCUCGAUCACAAGCAUGCCUUAAGUUCUUCGUGUUACUUCGAUCGAUCGAUCCUCACACAGUUGGAUUUCUUGAGCAUAAGAGCAUCGGAUUAUGCAUCCGGUGCUUUCGAUCUACUCUCCAACACUCACGCGCCCGCGUAUGACGUCGUACUAUGGUGGAUCGUCUUUUCAUCGCCGGAAACAUCUUCAGAAAAGUGAUCGUCGCGGUAAUCUUAGUAGUUAACGUUUUGCUCGCCGGAUCUUAGCUUAUUUUUCUCGAAGGUUUCAGUUUAGUACGCUUUGGUGCUGUUUUUUCGGUUCCGACGAGGUAUUAUUAGCGUGUGUUGAUACUAUCAGUAAACCAGUGGUGGAUCUGAUUUUUGUUGGCAAUCGAGCUGUCUCGAUUGAACGAUCUUCUGUUUUUCCUGUGGAUCGAGCUCGUUUUGGAGAUAUUGAGGAUUCUCGACGGUUUUUGGAUCGGUAUAAGCUCUUCUAUUCAUCCUCAAUUGUGGAUGGAAGGUUCUGUUCCUAGUGAUACACUGGCUUCCCAACAAUUAAGGAGCAACACUGAGUCUGUGACGACUCCCCAUAUCCAAACUCAAUACGGUUCAGGGGAUCUUUCUAUGAAUGAUCUGAAAGUGUGCUUCAAUGAAUUUGUAAGUGUUGAAGAUUUGGCUGGAGGCAAUAGCAAAUGUGAUUCCAAUGACUCAGACAAAUCCAGUGACAAUCUUCCUGACGCUACAUCUUCUGGUGCAAGCAUAGUAGCUCUUGCCUUUCUUUUUCGACUAUUUUAAUGUUCUUGCUGCGUUAUUUCCUCCGGUGGUAGUGGAAAAGCACUGGAUUCGAAAUAUAUAUGCCACGGCCUGUGCGAGUAUAUAUAAACAUCGAAGGCUUACUCUUGUAAAGAUAUUGUUAACAGUUGCAAUUUUCUCUUUGUUAUUCCUCUUGAUGUCAUCGCUCUCAGACCCUGUCCAAGCUUGCAUCUGCCAUGAAAGGUAGCCGUGAAAAGCAGGGUAUACCGCCUAAGAAGCUGUCCGUCACUUGGGCACCUGAUGUCUACGAUCCAAUUCCAACUUCGGUAUCUCACGUGCCAUCGAGCAGGAAUCAAUACAUCCGCAGUAAUAGCAAGAAAUAUGGGAAGAACAAACAGAAAGGUGGUGGGAAAUCCUCGCGAGGGGGCAAAGGCAAGGACAAAGACAAGAAGCAAGCUCGGAAGAAUGGCGGGACCACCACCAAAGUCAAGAGCACAGCUAGCUUCUCUGAGCCCGAGGCAGGUAUCCCCGGGUUCAAUGUUAUCAGCACAGAUGCAUUCUGUGGAAGCAGCUUUCUCAAGGAAUCGGUCCAGAAUUUGCACUUCCCCGUCGCAGAGGCUAUGCGAUGAUGUGCAUUGUUCUGUCUCUCCCCAAUGUAAAUAAAAGUACUCGUUAUGCCUUAAAUGCUUUCUACUAGUUAUGCUUUUGCAAGACUUCGGAAUUUUGAGAAUUUGCAUUUGGCCUUCAACGAAUUUACAUGGACUUUUGUUUGUGAUA